rnacentral:lncRNA from 1 species
GCUCUAUAUAGCCGUAGCUUCUACCUAACAUCCCUGGUCCCGGCCUCUCUCUAAGUUUUUCCUAUGAGAGAGUAGAGGCGACCGUUAGGGAGGGAGUCAGGGCUUUUGACAACUCCCGGCCUUGGUUGCGACACUGCUUACUGUCUUACUCUCACUCCGGCAUAUAUCCGGAGCCUGUCAAGCUGUGGCUGCCAUUUCCUGAAAUAGGAGUGCUUGAUUGCUAUCGGCUUGGUCAGGUGCGGUUCUUCAUUAUUGGAAUGAAGCCUAAAGACUGAAAUGAAAUGGAGAUCGAUAGGAUAGGCUCAUCACGUUCUAUGAUGGAGAUGAAGAUGGUAUGUUUAAGCGUUUAUUCUUUGAAUAAAUGAAAAUGCAUGAUCACUACCUCAGAUGGUAUGCCACUGUGUAUUUCGACUAUACCGCAGACCUGGAGAGUCUUUUAUCUCCCCCGGUUCUACCUUAUAGUCCCCGCCGGUCAAGUAAGGAAAACCUCCUUCUCCGGUAUAGGUUGAUGUUUAAGUGUUGGGGGAUCAGGUGAGGACGGCGCCUCGCGUUUACGCGCUGGGUGUCGGUAGGUUCUUUAGAGGUCUAUGUAUUACUUAGUCACGUGCCUUAAGCAAGCAUGUCAAGCUUACCAAAACCAGCAGUUGGCCUCAGAAGAAAUUUGCUUUUCUUCCUCGGGACAAUCUCUUCCUUCACCUGAAUACUGUGAUUUUACUUCCUCCGUCCCUGGAAGUAAUCCACCGAAAUGCUCCUGAUGUCAUCAAGGUUUUCCACUAUAUCCCCAUUAGCUUUUUUUAUCAAGCUGUUGUUCUUUCUAUUCCUUUGGCUUGCAAGCGCAGCAUGAAAGAAGGCAGUGUUGGAAUCACCCCUUAUGUAUAGUCGCCACUUGAACUGCUAAACUGCACCAGCCAGUAGAAUCAAGGUGUGGCUUCGACAAAGAAGUCAAAGAGGACACCUGCCAAGGGCGAGCACCAACCCAACCCGGCGGCACCCUGAGUGAGUGUCAACAGUCCAGCAACAACUCUCAACACGGUGGCGACUCGUUUAACAGACAAGUUAGCGCAGAAAUGACGGUGCGCGCGAACUGCGGGGGGCGGCGGGGACGACGCCGGAGGUCGGGCCUCGGCCGAGGGAGGUGGCCCGAUGCGUGUGGUUCCCUCCUUGAGCUCCACGGCCAAAUAGAUGGCAGCUUCGUGGAGAAGAUGCAAUGCCGACCUUUUCCGACGGCCGCGUUUGCCGGCGGCCGUGGUGUGCGCG